GCGCCGUUGCAAUCAUAAUUUCGUGCACCAAGCACCGACCCAGCAGCGCUCUUCCCAGCAACGCCAAAGAGAGGCUUUGCCACUCACCCUAGAAGCAUUGCAGAGAAGGUACGAAGAGCACGGAUUAGCGAAAGAAUCAAGAAAUUGCAAGGCCUUCUCCCGAAAUCAGACAAGUUCAUCCUGAAAGUUGAAAUCCUAUGUGGUCUGUAUUAAGGUAAGAUUGAUUUUAGUUAUGAUAUUUUGUUAUGUGAUUUGUUUUUUAAUCUAUUCAUU